GACGAACGCUGGCGGCGUGCUUAACACAUGCAAGUCGAACGGAAAGGCCCUGCUUUUGUGGGGUGCUCGAGUGGCGAACGGGUGAGUAACACGUGAGUAACCUGCCCUUGACUUUGGGAUAACUUCAGGAAACUGGGGCUAAUACCGGAUAGGAGCUCCUGCUGCAUGGUGGGGGUUGGAAAGUUUCGGCGGUUGGGGAUGGACUCGCGGCUUAUCAGCUUGUUGGUGGGGUAGUGGCUUACCAAGGCUUUGACGGGUAGCCGGCCUGAGAGGGUGACCGGCCACAUUGGGACUGAGAUACGGCCCAGACUCCUACGGGAGGCAGCAGUGGGGAAUAUUGCACAAUGGGCGGAAGCCUGAUGCAGCAACGCCGCGUGCGGGAUGACGGCCUUCGGGUUGUAAACCGCUUUCGCCUGUGACGAAGCGUGAGUGACGGUAAUGGGUAAAGAAGCACCGGCUAACUACGUGCCAGCAGCCGCGGUGAUACGUAGGGUGCGAGCGUUGUCCGGAUUUAUUGGGCGUAAAGGGCUCGUAGGUGGUUGAUCGCGUCGGAAGUGUAAUCUUGGGGCUUAACCCUGAGCGUGCUUUCGAUGCGGGUUGACUUGAGGAAGGUAGGGGAGAAUGGAAUUCCUGGUGGAGCGGUGGAAUGUGCAGAUAUCAGGAGGAACACCAGUGGCGAAGGCGGUUCUCUGGGCCUUUCCUGACGCUGAGGAGCGAAAGCGUGGGGAGCGAACAGGCUUAGAUACCCUGGUAGUCCACGCUGUAAACGGUGGGUACUAGGUGUGGGGUCCAUUCCACGGGUUCCGUGCCGUAGCUAACGCUUUAAGUACCCCGCCUGGGGAGUACGGCCGCAAGGCUAAAACUCAAAGGAAUUGGCGGGGCCCCGCACAAGCGGCGGAGCAUGCGGAUUAAUUCGAUGCAACGCGUAGAACCUUACCUGGGUUUGACAUGGAUCGGGAGCGCUCAGAGAUGGGUGUGCCUCUUUUGGGGUCGGUUCACAGGUGGUGCAUGGCUGUCGUCAGCUCGUGUCGUGAGAUGUUGGGUUAAGUCCCGCAACGAGCGCAACCCUUGUUCACUGUUGCCAGCACGUUAUGGUGGGGACUCAGUGGAGACCGCCGGGGUCAACUCGGAGGAAGGUGGGGAUGACGUCAAGUCAUCAUGCCCCUUAUGUCCAGGGCUUCACGCAUGCUACAAUGGCUGGUACAGAGAGUGGCGAGCCUGUGAGGGUGAGCGAAUCUCGGAAAGCCGGUCUCAGUUCGGAUUGGGGUCUGCAACUCGACCUCAUGAAGUCGGAGUCGCUAGUAAUCGCAGAUCAGCAACGCUGCGGUGAAUACGUUCCCGGG
rnacentral:rRNA from 1 species